rnacentral:rRNA from 1 species
CGCGGCCUAUCAGCUUGUUGGUGAGGUAAUGGCUCACCAAGGCGACGACGGGUAGCCGGCCUGAGAGGGUGACCGGCCACACUGGGACUGAGACACUGCCCAGACUCCUACGGGAGGCUGCAGUCGAGAAUCUUCCGCAACGGGCGCAAGCCUGACGGAGCGACGCCGCGUGUAGGACGAAGGCCCUAGGGUUGUAAACUACUGUCACGAAUCAUGAAAGCUGCGUAGUUAACAGCUGCGUAGUUGACGUAAGUUCGGAAGGAAGCACCGGCUAACUCUGUGCCAGCAGCCGCGGUAAUACAGAGGGUGCAAACGUUGUUCGGAAUUACUGGGCAUAAAGCGCACGUAGGCGGCGCGUCUAGUGCAUGGUGAAAUCCCACGGCUUACCCGUGGAACUGCUGUGCAUACUGGCGUGCUCGAGGACGGUAGGGGAGAGCGGAACUCUUGGUGGAGCGGUGAAAUGCGUAGAUAUCAAGAGGAACACCGAAGGCGAAGGCAGCUCUCUGGUCCGUUUCUGACGCUGAGGUGCGAAAGCCAGGGUAGCGAACGGGAUUAGAUACCCCGGUAGUCCUGGCCGUAAACGAUGGGCACUCGGUGCCGCGGGUAUUGACCCCUGCGGUGCCUUAGCUAACGCGUUAAGUGCCCCGCCUGGGGAGUACGG